AACGAACGCUGGCGGCAGGCCUAACACAUGCAAGUCGAGCGGCCGUAGCAAUACGGCAGCGGCAGACGGGAGAGUAACACGUGGGAACGUGCCCAUCAGUUCGGAACAACCCAGGGAAACUUGGGCUAAUACCGGAUACGCCCUUACGGGGAAAGAUUUAUCGCUGAUGGAGCGGCCCGCGUCUGAUUAGCUAGUUGGUGAGGUAACGGCUCACCAAGGCGACGAUCAGUAGCUGGUCUGAGAGGAUGAUCAGCCUCACUGGGACUGAGACACGGCCCAGACUCCUACGGGAGGCAGCAGUGGGGAAUAUUGGACAAUGGGCGCAAGCCUGAUCCAGCCAUGCCGCGUGGGUGAUGAAGGCCCUAGGGUUGUAAAGUCCUUUCGGCGGGGAAGAUAAUGACGGUACCCGCAGAAGAAGCCCCGGCUAACUUCGUGCCAGCAGCCGCCGUAACAC
rnacentral:rRNA from 1 species